rnacentral:rRNA from 1 species
UACGUAGGGUGCAAGCGUUGUCCGGAAUUAUUGGGCGUAAAGAGCUCGUAGGUAGCGGGUCACGUCGGGUGUGAAAGCCCGGGGCUUAACCCCGGGUCUGCAUUCGAUACGGGUCUGCUGGGGUCCGGCAGGGGAGACUGGAAUUCCUGGUGUAGCGGUGAAAUGCGCAGAUAUCAGGAGGAACACCGAUGGCGAAGGCAGGUCUCUGGGCUGUAACUGACGCUGAGGAGCGAAAGCAUGGGGAGCGAACAGG